GUAGGGAAUCUUCCACAAUGGACGAAAGUCUGAUGGAGCAACGCCGCGUGAGUGAAGAAGGUUCUCGGAUCGUAAAACUCUGUUGUGAGGGAAGAACAAGUACCGGAGUAACUGCCGGUACCUUGACGGUACCUCAUUAGAAAGCCACGGCUAACUACGUGCCAGCAGCCGCGGUAAUACGUAGGUGGCAAGCGUUGUCCGGAAUCAUUGGGCGUAAAGCGCGCGCAGGCGGUCCCUUAAGUCUGAUGUGAAAGCCCACGGCUCAACCGUGGAGGGUCAUUGGAAACUGGGAGACUUGAGUGCAGAAGAGGAAAGCGGAAUUCCAAGUGUAGCGGUGAAAUGCGUAGAGAUUUGGAGGAACACCAGUGGCGAAGGCGGCUUUCUGGUCUGUAACUGACGCUGAGGCGCGAAAGCGUGGGGAGCAAACAGGAUUAGAAACCCUUGUAGUCC
rnacentral:rRNA from 1 species